UGCAGGAAUAGGAAAUUCCCCCCC
rnacentral:piRNA from 1 species